UACCAGCACCCCGAGUGGUCGGGACGAUUAUUGGGCCUAAAGCAUCCGUAGCCGGUUCUACAAGUCUUCCGUUAAAUCCACCUGCUUAACAGAUGGGCUGCGGAGGAUACUAUAGAGCUAGGAGGCGGGAGAGGCAAGCGGUACUUAGUGAGUAGGGGUAAAAUCCGUUGAUCCAUUGAAGACCACCAGUGGCGAAGGCGGCUUGCCAGAACGCACUCGACGUUGAGGGAUGAAAGCUGGGGGAGCAAACCGG
rnacentral:rRNA from 1 species